AGAACACACUAUUUAUUUCUAAGGUCCAUGUUCACUCACAUGAAGCGAUGCAAAUGAACUUCUCGACCAAAAGCAGAAGUGCUUAAUUUGAAGGCUGAGAGAUAGACUUCAACAGAAGAAAGGACACUACCUGUUCUCCUAUUGCGAUGUCCAGAGGUUUAAUUAAAACACUUCUCCGUCUACGAGUCAGAGAGGGCUCAACAGAGCGGCUGUAGUGAUGGCGGAGGAAGAGGAGGAGGUGAACUACGCUUCGGUUGUGUUCAAAGCCGGCAACAAUCAUCCACCUGCGGCAAAAAGAGGGGAGGAAACUGUGUACGAUGAGGUGAAGGUGCAGAACGAAACAAAGAACGAGG